GCUCCUGUCGUCUAGUGGCCUAGGACACAUGGUUCUCAGCCAUGGAACUGGGGUUCAAAUCCCCAUGGGAGCG
rnacentral:tRNA from 1 species